UUGGAGGGCAAGUCUGGUGCCAGCAGCCGCGGUAAUUCCAGCUCCAAUAGCGUAUAUUAAAGUUGUUGCAGUUAAAAAGCUCGUAGUUGAAUUUCGGGAUCAAUAUGUCGGUCGUGCCUUCGGUACGUACUGGCAUCAUUGGUUUCUCCCUUCUGACAAACCAUGAUGUCAUUAAUUUGGUGUUAUGGGGAGUUAGGACUGUUACUUUGAAAAAAUUAGAGUGUUUAAAGCAGGCAUUAGCUUGAAUACAAUAGCAUGGAAUAAUGAAAUAGGACGUUUGACCCUAUUUUGUUGGUUUCUAGGAUCGACGUAAUGAUUAAUAGGGAUAGUUGGGGGCAUUAGUAUUCAAUUGUCAGAGGUGAAAUUCUUGGAUUUAUUGAAGACUAACUACUGCGAAAGCAUUUGCCAAGGAUGUUUUCAUUAAUCAAGAACGAAAGUUAGGGGAUCGAAGACGAUCAGAUACCGUCGUAGUCUUAACCAUAAACUAUGCCGACUAGGGAUCGGAUGAUGUUAAUUUUUUAAUGACUCAUUCGGCGCCUUACGGGAAAC
rnacentral:rRNA from 1 species